rnacentral:rRNA from 1 species
ACGCUCGACACCUACGGCAGCAGUAGGGAAUCUUCCACAAUGGACGCAAGUCUGAUGGAGCAACGCCGCGUGAGUGAAGAAGGUUUUCGGAUCGUAAAGCUCUGUUGUUGGUGAAGAAGGAUAGAGGUAGUAACUGGCCUUUAUUUGACGGUAAUCAACCAGAAAGUCACGGCUAACUACGUGCCAGCAGCCGCGGUAAUCUGAGCGGGCUGGCAAGGC